CCUACGGGGGGCAGCAGUGGGGAAUAUUGGACAAUGGGGGGAACCCUGAUCCAGCCAUGCCGCGUGUGUGAAGAAGGCCCUCGGAUUGUAAAGCACUUUCAGUGAGGAAGAACGCCUGGUGGUUAAUACCCAUCAGGAAAGACAUCACUCACAGAAGAAGCACCGGCUAACUCCGUGCCAGCAGCCGCGGUAAUACGGAGGGUGCGAGCGUUAAUCGGAAUUACUGGGCGUAAAGCGCGCGUAGGUGGCUUGAUAAGCCGGUUGUGAAAGCCCCGGGCUCAACCUGGGAACGGCAUCCGGAACUGUCAAGCUAGAGUGCAGGAGAGGAAGGUAGAAUUCCCGGUGUAGCGGUGAAAUGCGUAGAGAUCGGGAGGAAUACCAGUGGCGAAGGCGGCCUUCUGGACUGACACUGACACUGAGGUGCGAAAGCGUGGGUAGCAAACAGGAUUAGAUACCCUUGUAGUC
rnacentral:rRNA from 1 species